rnacentral:rRNA from 1 species
AUACGUAGGGAGCGAGCGUUGUCCGGAAUUACUGGGUGUAAAGGGAGCGUAGGCGGGAGUGCAAGUCAGAUGUGAAAUACAUGGGCUCAACCCAUGGGCUGCAUUUGAAACUGCAUUUCUUGAGUGAAGUAGAGGUAAGCGGAAUUCCUGGUGUAGCGGUGAAAUGCGUAGAUAUCAGGAGGAACACCGGUGGCGAAGGCGUCUUACGGGGCUUUUACGGACGCUGAGGCUCGAAAGCGGGGGGAGAAAACAGGAUUAGAUACCCUGGUAGUCCACGCUGUAAACGAUGAUUACUAGGGGUGGGGGUACUGACCCCUUCCGUGCCGCAGUUAACACAAGAAGUAAUCCGCCUGGGGAGUACGGCCGCAAGGUUGAAACUCAAAGGAAUUGACGGGG